CCAUCGAACUCAGCAAGUAACAGCAAUGAUCAAUCAACUCAAGGCAAACAGAAUCAGAAUCAGAAGCAUUAGCCAAUGUUUUCAGAGUUUGAUAGUGGAUCAAUCUUUGCAUGAACCUCUUUUGACAAAAAUAAAUUGCUUGAAAAAUUAA